UGACCCGUCUUGAAACACGGAUCAAGGAGUCUAACAUGUGAACAAGCGAUUGAGUUUUUGACUAAGCUCAAACGCAAAAUGAAAGUGAAAUACCGCUUGACAACCGGUAUGAGCGGAGAUCGUGCACUGUGUAUAUAGUGUACGCGCAUCCGCAGGCCACAUCUAUCGGCUAGCUUGUCCACUGGACACUGCCGGGAUGUGGACCAAGAGUUGACACGUUGUGACCCGAAAGAUGGUGAACUAUGCUUGGUCAGGAUGAAGCCAGGGGAAACCCUGGUGGAAGUCCGAAGCGAUUCUGACGUGCAAAUCGAUCGUAUGAACUGAGUAUAGGGGCGAAAGACUAAUCGAACCAUCUAGUAGCUGGUUCCAUCUGAAGUUUCCCUCAGGAUAGCUGGCACUUGAGGAAACGGAAUUUCAUCCGAUAAAGCGAAUGACUAGAUGAAACGGGCCGUUCAAUGGCUCGACCUAUUAUCAAACUUUCAAUGGGUGAGAGGUCUCGCUGUCUUUAGCGCAGCGUUGACUUUGAAUCCGAGUGCCCAGUGGGCCACUUUUGGUAAGCAGAACUGGCGAUGCGGGAUGAACCGCAAGUCGAGUUAAGGUGCCUAAACGAACGCACAUGAGAGACCAUGAAAGGUGUUGAUUGCUCACGACAGCAGGACGGUGGCCAUGGAAGUCGGCAUCCGCUAAGGAGUGUGUAACAACUCACCUGCCGAAGCAAUCAGCCCUGAAAAUGAAAGGCGCUAAAGCGUUCUACCGAUACUCGACCGUCGUUAGCAAGUGACAUGCACACCCUAUAUGUGUGUUGUGUCUCAAGCUGCGACGAGUAAGAUGGCGCGGCAGUGUGCUUGGAAGGUGAGGUCGUAAGACCAGCUGGAGCCGCUGUCGAUGCAGAUCUUGGUGAUAGUAGCAAAUACACAAGCAAGAUCCUUGUGGAUCGAUGUGGAGAAGGGUUCCGCGCGAACAGUAUUUGAACGUGGAUGAGUCGGCCCUAAGCCAACGGGUAAUUCCCGCAUCCUGAUGCAUAAAAAGGCU
rnacentral:rRNA from 1 species